rnacentral:rRNA from 1 species
UACAGAGACUGCAAGCGUUAUUCGGAUUCACUGGGCGUAAAGGGUGCGCAGGCGGCCAAGUGUGUCAGGUGUGAAAUCCCGAGGCUCAACCUCGGAACUGCGCCUGAAACUACUUGGCUAGAGUACUGGAGAGGGUAACGGAAUUCACGGUGUAGCAGUGAAAUGCGUAGAUAUCGUGAGGAACACCAGAGGCGAAGGCGGUUACCUGGACAGUUACUGACGCUGAGGUACGAAAGCAUGGGGAGCAAACAGG